CCUACGGGUGGCAGCAGUGAGGAAUAUUGGUCAAUGGGCGGAAGCCUGAACCAGCCAAGUCGCGUGAGGGAUUAAGGCCCUGCGGGUCGUAAACCUCUUUUGCCGGGGAGCAGAGGUCCGGACGUGUCCGGGCCGGGAGAGUACCCGGAGAAAAAGCAUCGGCUAACUCCGUGCCAGCAGCCGCGGUAAUACGGAGGAUGCGAGCGUUAUCCGGAUUUACUGGGUGUAAAGGGAGCGUAGACGGCGAGGUAAGCCUGAAGUGGAAGCCCGCGGCCCAACCGCGGAACUGCUUUGGGAACUGUUUUGCUGGAGUAUGGGAGGGGUAAGCGGAAUUCCUGGUGUAGCGGUGAAAUGCGUAGAUAUCAGGAGGAACACCGGUGGCGAAGGCGGCUUACUGGACCAUAACUGACGUUGAGGCUCGAAAGCGUGGGGAGCGAACAGGAUUAGAUACCCGUGUAGUC
rnacentral:rRNA from 1 species